AGAAGAAGAAGAAGAAGAAGAAGAAGAAGUCCCCAUGUGCAUAUUUGGGUUUAAAAUGUCUCAACAUUAGCACCAAUAUUAAAACAUGUUGAGACAUUUUAAACCCAAAUAUGCACAUGGGGACGACUUCUUCUUCUUCUUCUUCUUCUUCUUCU